rnacentral:rRNA from 2 species
UGCAAGUCGAACGAUGAAGUUCCUUCGGGAAUGGAUUAGUGGCGAACGGGUGAGGAACACGUGAGAAACCUGCCUUUCAUUCUGGGAUAACACCGGGAAACCGGUGCUAAUACCGGAUACUCCAUCUUGGCGGCAUCGCCGAGCUGGGAAAAAUUUUGAUGAAAGAUGGUCUCGCGGCCUAUCAGCUAGUUGGUGAGGUAAAGGCUCACCAAGGCGACGACGGGUAGCCGGCCUGAGAGGGCGACCGGCCACACUGGGACUGAGACACGGCCCAGACUCC